rnacentral:rRNA from 1 species
GCCCUAUAAAAAUUUAUGAGGUGUAACCUGCCCACUGAUUUCUAAAUCAAAAAUUAAAAUAAUAUUUUAAAGAAAUUAAAGGGACGCGGUAACCUUGACCGUGAUAAUGUAGCAUAAUCACUCGCCAUUUAAUUGAUGGAUAGUAUGAAAGGUUAAACGAAUAUUCCACUGUCUUAAAAAGAAAAAUCAAAAAUUAAAAUAAUAGUUAAGAUGCUAUUUAAAAUUGUAAGACGAAAAGACCCUAUAGAGCUUAACUACAUUUUUCCUAAAAAAAAGUUAAAACACAUUAUAAAAAAAAGGAAGAAAGGUAGUUUAGUUGGGGCGACUGUCUUUUAAACCUAACAAAGACAAGCAAAAUUAAUAAAAAGAUAAUUUAUUGUAUAAUUAAUAAAUUUAACAAUUACAAAAGUAGGCUAUAGUGACCCGUUGAAAAAACAUAGAAUUUUUAACGAUAAAUAAAUAAAAGCUACCUUAGGGAUAACAGGAUAAUUUCAUUUUAGAGAUCUUAUCAAAAAUGAAGUUUGUCACCUCUAUGUUGAAUUAAGAUAUCCUGAUAAUGCAGAAGUUAUCAAAGGUAGGUCUGUUCGACCUUUAAAAUCUU